UAGUACAGGCAUAAAGCGAAACAGCACCAAAGGGCAUAAGGACAGCACAAGCCCGUAUCUUCCUCUGCCAGGGAGGGAUGAGUCUCGUGAGAUUCCCAGCUCCGUUGUGUGACAGCCUGACGUUUCAGGGGAAGUGGGAGAGAGGGAAAACUCUCUGCCUCUUCUCAUUUCAUUGCAACCCGGUUGCUGCCAGCAGGUAGACCAAAAAGAGGAAAAUCUGGCAAGUAGAAGGGAAAUGCACUGUUUGCAUUGGCAAUAUUGCUCUUGGAUCCCAAAACAGAGGUGCCUCCCGGUGAAGUCAUCAGCUCGAAGACCAGACAGGAGCUCAUUUGGGUGAACUCUUACUGCAAGUCCUAGAGCUGUGCCUGCAAGCUCCUGCGCUGAGCCACCGACAUGGGAUUGAACCAGAUCCCAUCAUUUGGAAGGGCAUCAAACUUUGAUUUACAACCUGCAAGUGAUGGUAAUCCAUCCAUGAACUGUGGUUAUUUACUGCAUAUCUUCUUGCCUUUUAGGACUCUGCUUCUCUACUGGAUUUACAAGACUCCAAACAGAUGCAGCUGAACUAUACCACUGAUUCACGUACACACCUCUUCUCAUACAGAUGAUGACUGCAUCACAUAAGCCGGCACUCUGAAAUAGUGCACAGUGAAAUAGCACAGCAGUUCUCAUUUGAAGUCUAUAGUGGGAGAGUAAUUUCCAAAAAUGAAGAGUAAAGUUCCUAAUCCGUAGCAGCUUUUUGCCAAAGAGAUGUGGGAGAGAAGAAACAGGAUGCAUCCUGCAUGAAUCAUCACUGUAACCACCCUGGAUUUAUUAACUGAAAUUAUGAGGAACACCGAAAAUUAUUAAAGCCUCCAAAUGCAUUGCCUCAGGCACUGGAUAAUGUAAGAUAUUACCAUAGUCUUCCUUCUGAUUUUAAAAGAUCAAGGACUAAAAGGAUCAAACUUUCAUAACUGAAUUAUUCAUUUUUUAAAAUGAUGGGACAGCUAUCAUUAUCCCACAUCCCAGAUGGGGGUAAUGACACCCCCAUGUCCUGGGAACUCACUUGUUCCCCAACACAGGGUUGGGGACAACCUCCUUUUCCCAGCUGAUUCAUGGUCUAACUUGAAUAUGUUAAAAGGAUGGGACAAAACAUUAGAAAGGAGGAAGGAAACCAGGGUCUGCUGAAGAAGUCAGAUGGAGAAGACACAAUUGUAGAAGCCUGACUGGGCGGUUUCAGCAGCCCACUGGUAAAAUAAACCUGUGGCUAGGGUGCAGAGAGGGGCAAAAGUCACCUACGCUGAUUCCCAGCUGGUGACCCAGGUGAUACGACGUGGUGGCCACGGUCCCAUGUCGAUUGCAUCCUGUACACCACCUGAACAGUAGCCAACACUUUACUUGUUAUUGAAAGAAGAUGAAUGACCAAAGCCCAUCAAAUUCAGGCACACGCUCUUCACUGAGUCUUCUCAGACUAAAGAAGUGCUGUAGUGCCUCAUCCAGAGAGGUCCAUGCCACAAGAUCUGAAAUGCAUGUCCCAUCUGUCCCUUCUCUGUGGCCAUCUGAGCAAGCCCCUAUGGUAGAGCUCACAGAAACUAGGGCUCAAGUUGCUCUCCAUGUGAACAACACCUGAAAGGGAGAAGAUCACACCAUGAGGCUUCUGCAGGGAAACAUCAAAACAGCUGAGGCAAGAGACAGGAAUUUCUCCAUGUCUGUGUGUGAAGGAGAGCUGGACUGCAGCUGGAGGUCAUUGCAGCAUCUGUUAAAACAUCUCCUUGGGGGUCCUUCCUCCAUACUUUGCUUUAUAUCCCCAUCAUAGUCUUCGCGGGGAAGAGGAAAGAGGGCACAAGUCAUCUUCAUAUUGGAAGCGGUACUACUGUGCCCCCCACCAAGCCCUGCCUGCAUGAACCAUUUACUCUACCUAUUCCAGUCCCUGCUGGAGCUUUUGGUCUUCCCCAGAAGCAGUCACUGAAAUCCAGAUAUCCAGGGACUCUGUAUCCAGGGGCUCUCUCCAAGCUGCAGGAGUAUGAGGGACCCCUGUUUCUGCGGGACAGUAGCAGGACUAUUCUUGCCUUUUAAGGCAUAUACAUCCAGUGUCCCCUCUCCCCACAGCCUUGUCCCCCAGUAUUAUACAAGCUCAUUCUUGAAGCCUGGGCCAGUAGAUUACAAUCGUGUUCAGCUCAGUUGUGCCCUAGCUGCCAUGAACCUAAAAUAAAAAUACAUGCUAUCCUCAAAGGCCAGUCCUGGUUCUGCAGGGCUCCCCUUGGGAGCUGGCUCUUGAAGGCUCCUGGAGGGAAGUGAUAUCCCUGCCUGUUGCUUUCCUUUGCUGAUUAUAUGUGAAUCUCUGCUCCAGGUCCCAGUUCCUCUAGUCACCUGCUCAAGUUCCCCUUUUCAUUGGCCUUGGACAUUUUUGCAGUCUGCAGAGUUGAGUGCUCUUCCUGCACUGGUUCAGCCCUGCUAGCUCCCUUUGAGGUCACAGCACACAGUCAUUUUGUUGCUCUCCAUUUGCCCUCUCAUGACCUGGGCUUCUGGCCCUGCUCAGACCCGUGCAAAUCUUCUGGGAGGAAGUGAUUUGAGCAAUAUUGUUCUCAAUGGAGCAGGAAUCACCGCAGUGCCCCAGGGUGAGAAAUCCUGUUGCGUGUCAGCCCAGAGCUACAGCCUCAGUGCAGGAAACUGCCCUGGAACAAGAGUGAGGAAAAGCUUUGCUCAGUAUUACAUCAAAGACUCAGCGUGGAAGGUGAGGCACAAGUAUGGGAAUAUAGCCCUUGCCUCUGUCUGGGCUCAGUUAACUGCUAGGUCUCUUCCUAUACCUCUUCUUGCUAGCUCUCUUCACUGAUGGAGCAAUAAGAAGAGCAGCAGAGAUGAAAAUGUGCCUCCCAGAGGGGUCUAUUCUUCCUGAGCAGAUCUCUGUAUAUUAAGAUAACAAUAUGUUCCCUUCACAAUUCAGAGAGGCUGAGAGAGGCUCAGGCAGGGAAGCUCAAAACUAAAUUAGCAGCCAGGUCAUUUCCACUUCAAGCUGACAGAGCUCAAGCAGAGGAAGGAGAAGGACUGCUUGUUGAUUUUUUCUCCUCAGCUCAACAGGCACACUGACAUUGCAGCACCCUGUAAAAUAUGUCAGAUGUAGGUCACUGUCUCCGGGACUGAAAUGGCCUAAGUUGCGGCAUUUAUUUAAAGAUAAAUGCCUCCUCUCAAUGAAGCAGUUUCUAUAUGAAUGAAACAAUGCUGCAAAGCCUGGAAAUGAUGAGCAUGGAUUUACCAGGGAGGAGAAAAAAAGAUGAGGAGGUCCCAGAAAACAGGCUAAAAGGGAUAGACCAGGUAGUCUAUCUCCCAUCUAUGCGGUUCAGUUCUAGGCUCGGUUUGAUUGCAGGCUCUCCCCACAGUCAAAGGUGUUCAGUUGGGAAGGCUGGAUACCUACUCCCUGCUGUUUUUAAAGAUGAAUAUUAAUGUGGUUAAUUGCAAGUCAUCUAGGCACUGUGCCAGGACUAAAAGGUAUCUACUAAGAAACUGCCAAAAAACAUUGUUAAUCAGGACCUAGGAAAAAAGCCAGACACAAAAAUUUAUGGUGCUUAUCUCUGCAAUAAUAAUUUCACAGUAGUCACCCGAGGACGAGAGCAAAGGUCAUCGCUUUUGUAUCAGCCGGAGUUUGUGCAAUCCUUUGUUUCCUUUUGUGUAAGUUUGCCCUGCAUAUUUGAUGCAGACGACCCUACAAAUGAAUGCAAAAAUCUGGCAGUCCAUGUUGAUCCAUUUGCUCCCAUUCUUUGCUCCAGACCAAAGAAUAGCGCAAUGUGGAAUCAAAAACCUCCCUAGCGUUGGUCAAAACUCAACCCAGAUUCUAAUUCAGGAAAAAAAGCAGGUUUUGCCUUAUUUUAAAGGAGUUAUCCAUAGGAAUGGUUCAAUGAACUUCUGUGUUGUUGCAGCUGCAUUGAAUACUAUCUAUAGUCACAAUAGGCUAAAUAAGUAUUUUGUGCAAAGGCAACAGCCAAUUUCACCUUAGAUUUCCUUCCUUCCAGCAGGAGGGGAGACCAGCAAGAGACCUGUGGAGACCUCUGCAAAUAAAUGAAAGGAGAUGAGGCUCUUUUUCGCUGUUAUUUCCUGGUCAUAUAGUAGAGGCAAUUCUAAGCCAAAUAUACAGUUUGCUUCUUGUCACAGCUGCCGAGAUUUACAACCUUAAAGUGAGGCUCAGCUUUCAGAUAAUUUCCAAACCAGCCCCAUAAAAUUAAUUGACUAUCCCAGAAUAUUGGCUUUGGAUGUUAUUUAUUUUUUGGGUGAAGUUCUGGUCCCAGUAAUUGCAGAGAAAACCUUGAAAACAUGAUCUCUGUGAGCCUUCGUGACUCAGAGUGUGGGAUUCAGCUGCCUACGCACAGGAGCCUUGUGCCAUCUGAGAUGCCCUUGUAUAUCUGAGACAUCCCACAGUGUUGGCAAAGUGACACACAGCCUAAGGAAGGCGUGUACUCUUCAGAAGCAAGAGCUGGAGUCUGUGGGCAGAUAUCCUAUAGCAUCUAAACUGGUACUAAGAAACUACGUUUAGACAACUGAAUUAAGCCCUAAUUCACAAAUUUCAGAUACUUCCAAUCAAAUCAAUCAACCAGUCCAUCAGUUUCAGGAGAUAUUUCCAAAUCUUCAGAUUUCAUGUUCAUGGAAGCAAUUUGAAGUACUAUUUUCUAUGUUCAGGACUGUGUUACAAACACACUAUUUGCUUCACUAAUGCUUCAGACCAUACUGAAGUAUUCAACUGGCCCAGACUGCUUGCUUUCCACCUUGUCUGUUAACUUCUUGGUCUCCUUCUUCUGGUCAUUCUGACACUCCAUCUCAACCAUGGAACAUAUAUAUUUCCUUGUCUGAUUUCCAGAUUGCAAGAGAAAAAGUAGAGAUUUUCUGUGCAAAAUGCAGAGGCAAAGAUUUUCCACAAGGCGAGGUGGAAGAGUGUGACAUGCUUUAUGGAGCCCUGAGGUGCAGCAGAAGGGGCUGGCACACAAACCAUCAGCAGCUCCUGGGCAGCAUUACCUCAGAAAGUCAGAGCCUUCAUGGAAAAGCAGGAUAUUUUUAGUUUACCAAGUUUAUUUAAAUCAUAUUGGUGUACAUUAAAAUUAUAGUAAUUAUCCCACCUUCUCAUGUGGGAUUCUGUGCAGUGAGGGAUUGGUGGAUUGUGUGCUGAUGGAGUCAUCUCUGAUGAGGUCCCUCUGCAAAACAGAAUUAUUUUGUUUCCACAUUUCACAGCUGCAGCAUUCUUGGCCUAUUAAUAUUUGACAGUUGAAUAUUGGGAUCUUUUCACAUCACACCCUUCUCUCCCCAGAGUCCGCCUCUCAUGGCUCGCAGCACCCCAGACAACUGUCACAAUGCAAAUUCCCCAAAGGACUGCAUUUACACACUCCUGGAGCUGUAAGUUUACACAUUCAGACAAGGCUGAUGUUUUCUUUACAGCAGCAUUUAACUUCUGAAUUAUUUCUCCUUUCCUCUAUACGACUGCAUUGUGGUGCCAUGCAAAGAAACCUGGCAUCUCCCAGCUCCUUGCUCUCUGCUCACUGCCCCACCAGCGAAGGGCUGGGAGGGUGACUUCACUACAGGAGCACAAUUUAAACAGAGAUGUUAAAAAAUGUAACAUAUUACACCAAAAAAAAGGAUACAUUCCCUUUUCAGAUCAGAAGUUUCAUAUUUCCGAUUGCAAAAAUAAAAAGAAGGGGGCGGUUGAAUGAAACAAUCAUUUUCCUUGGCAGAGAAGACAUUUCCCUUGUCAAUGAAGUCACCACCAAAUUCUGGAUUAUCUCUGGUUUUAAUCCUGCUUUUAAGAGUCAGCGCUUCUGGAGAAUUUAACAUGGGUCUUCUGAUGGUGGCAAGUGAUUCUCAUUCUGGCUGCCUGAGCAUGGAUAUUUUUGGAGGACCAUCAGGAACCACUAGGAGGAGAUCUGGUCUAUCACCUCCUCCUGAGACAGAUCUACGCUCCUUGGGAGCUACGCUAUCCCCACUCAUCCAGACUGCAGAUCCACCCCUCCAUUGCCCCCUCACCUCCUUCAGCUCACAUCGAGAAGUCCCUAUCAACCCCCAUCUGCACAAAGGAAACCUUGCCAGCAUGUGGCCCUUCCCCUCACACCCAUGUUUUCUGGCCCUUUCCCGGCUCUUUUUGUAGCAUGUUCCUGAUUAUCUCUCUGAAUGCUGCAGAAAAAUGCUGCUUUUCCUGAAUACUAAGUAAGGAAGAAAAAAAAAACCACACAUUUGCUUCCUAGACUAUGUUUAUUUUCCUCUGGCUUGAAGUUCACUGUUACCGCUGAAGGAUUUUGUGACCUGUGGAGAUAUUUGAUCCAAGUGACCUCUGGUGUUUGGAACGCUGAUAUGAUCCCAUAGCAAGUUUACUCUUACACACAUCUUAUAUAGCUAUCCAUCCAUAUAUCCAUAUAUACAACUAUCUUCCUCUUUAUCUUUCUCAUUCCCGUGCUAUCUGAUUGGUUUUUGGCUUUUCUUAUACUUCUUUCAUUGAAUUAAUAUAUUUUCCCCAAAGAUGUUUCCUCACUCUCCAAGAUUUUCUCCUUUUGCACCCUGUCAUUUCUCUCUCCAUCCUGUCUUCUCCAGAUCCAUUCCCCUUCCCUCCAUGCUGCCCAUUUAAAGUUGUGCUGUGUAUUCAGCAUAACAUAUAUAUUUAAGUGGGAUGAUUUCCACUAAUGUAAACAGUCUGGCCCAUUAAUUUCAAUAGUGGAGCUGACAGCUCGGGCCUGGAGUUUCAUUGCUUAGUGACACAUGAGUACAGCUGCUUGAACUUGAUGGGUAACUGUUUCCAGCGCUUAGCUGCACAUCUGCAGGAGGAAGGAAAUACUUUCUGUAAUACUGGAAAAAACAAAGCUGCCUAGAUUCCUCCCCCCUCUCUUUCCCCAGAUGAUGAUAUUCAUCAUUCAAAUGUUUCAGCCGAGUGGGUGUUUAAUUCAGAAUUUGAAGGGGGACAUUUAUGAUGCGUUACUAGUUUUGUUGUCAAUUCUUUGUGCCAACCAUCGCGUUGUUGCCUGGACCAAGGAUUCCUUCAAAGCCCACAGUGUACUGGGAUAUAUUCAGUAGCACUGGGCAGUCUUGGCACGUUCAGAACCGAUUAGUUGUUUAUUACACCUGAGAUCCGUUUCUCUCCUCAAGGAGAUUGCUAUAUCGACAGAGGAGAACCAGCAAUGAGAUUUCUUUUAGAUGGAUCUAGCUUGAAUAUACCAUGCCAUGUAUGGGCUAGGGUCUGAGACAUAAGCUUUACUCAUGGCCACCUUGGAUUGUGAAGACAAAGUCAGCAAAGCUUCAAGAUUGACCUAAACUUUUCAGGGUUUCGCUUCCAGUUGUUCCAAGAAAAUGUGUGAUUAAUACCACAAGCUGCUCCAGCUUUACUUCCUCCAAGUGACACAAAUGUUGUCAUCCACCACGUCAUUAGCUACCUGGAAAAACUGAGCUACCUGUUGCAAAUCUUUUGUACUGCAGCCUGCUGGCUAGCUGUUUUCUCACAUGCCGACCUGUGUGUGAUCUUCACUUGGCAGCUGCGCAGCAGGGGGAAACAGGCUGUGAGUGCCACACUUCUGGUAAUAUCCAUGCAGUGAUGAUCAUCAGCUCAAACCAUGGUGAAUAUGGAAAGAAAGGAAUUGCUUUGAGAGCAGGGCUGUUACUUUCACUGGGAACAUAAAAAAAAGCAAAUCUUCUGAAUUACAUGCUACUGUCUUCCUAAGUAUAAACCACAAUUUUCAAUCUCUAA